CCCCGGCCAAGACCCUCCAAUUCUCAUCCACAUUGUGCUCCUCCAAGACCUUCUGGCCGCCCUACUUGAAGCACCCUCCCCUCCCUCCCCACCCAUGGUUCAAAAACCUCCCCAAGCCCACCCUACCGCCCUUCGGCCACCCUUGGCCCCCUCUCCCGCCCCUCUACAAGCACAAGCCACUCCCACCACCCGUUCCCGUCUACACACCUACGCCAAAACCACCCGUGGUCAAGCCCCCCGUAUACACGCCUAAGCCUAAACCACCCGUGGUCAAGCCCCCGGUCUACACACCUAAGCCUAAACCACCCGUGGUCAAGCCCCCGGUCUACACACCUAAGCCCCCUGUCUACACACCAAAGCCAAAGCCACCCGUGGUCAAGCCCCCGGUCUACACACCUAAGCCCCCCGUGUACACACCAAAGCCAAAGCCACCCGUGGUCAAGCCCCCCGUCUACACACCUAAGCCCCCCGUCUACACGCCAAAGCCAAAGCCACCGGUGGUCAAGCCCCCGGUGUACACGCCUAAGCCAAAACCACCGGUGGUGAAGCCCUGCCCGCCAAUCGUGAAGAAGCCACUCCCGCCACCGGUGCCCGUGUACAAGCCCCCAUUGCCACCACCAAUCAAGAAGAAGCCCUGCCCGC
rnacentral:lncRNA from 1 species